rnacentral:rRNA from 1 species
CCCCAGCAUAAAAAUUACGCCGGGAACUACAAACAUCCGUUUAAAACUCAAAGAUCUUGGCGGUGUCUUAAACACUCAGGGAAACCUGUCCCUUAAUUCGAUAAUCCACGAAUGUAUGAACCCUUCUUGAAUUACCAGCCUGUGUACUGCCGUCAUAAGUAUGCCUCCAAGAGCUAGCAUGCAGAAAUACUAUUAGUGCUUAUGUCAGGUCAAAGUGCAGCCAAUGAAGGGUUGGAGAUGGGUUACACUCCUAAAACGGCUACCAAAAUUCUAUCUUGAAAAAUGAAACAAAAGCUGGACUUGAAAGUAAUGAUAUUCACUAAAGUAUCAUGAAAAGAAACCUAAGACAUGCACAUAUCGCCCGUCACUCUCAUCGAAAGACG